rnacentral:rRNA from 1 species
GAGUUUGAUCCUGGCUCAGGACGAACGCUGGCGGCGUGCCUAACACAUGCAAGUCGAACGGAGAUAUUCGCUGAUGAAGUACUUCGGUAAUGAUUCUUGAAUAUCUUAGUGGCGGACGGGUGAGUAACGCGUGAGCAACCUGCCUUUCAGAGGGGGAUAACGUUCGGAAACGAACGCUAAUACCGCAUGAUAUUGUUGAGUCGCAUGACUUAAUAAUCAAAGGAGCAAUCCGCUGAAAGAUGGGCUCGCGUCCGAUUAGGUAGUUGGUGGGGCAACGGCCCACCAAGCCGACGAUCGGUAGCCGGACUGAGAGGUUGAACGGCCACAUUGGGACUGAGACACGGCCCAGACUCCUACGGGAGGCAGCAGUGAGGGAUAUUGGUNCAUGGGGGAAACCCUGAACCAGCAACGCCGCGUGAGGGAAGACGGUUUUCNGGAUUGUAGCCUCUGUCCUCUGUGAAGAUAAUGACGGUACCAGAGGAAGAAGCUCCGGCUUACUACGUGCCCACCGGCCCGGUAAUACGUAGGGAGCAAGCUUUGUCCGGAUUUACUGGGUGUAAAGGUGCCUAGGGGCUUUUCCAAUUCCAAUUGAAAUCCCGGGGCUUAACCCUUGAACUUGCUUUUAAACUGCAAACCUGGAUGGGAUAAAAGGUGGGGGAAUUCCGGGGUUACCGGGAAAAACCCAAAAAAUCCGGGGG